rnacentral:miRNA from 1 species
CCGGCUGGGAGCUAAAAUUUU